AACGAACGCUGGCGGCAUGCCUAACACAUGCAAGUCGAACGAAGGCUUCGGCCUUAGUGGCGCACGGGUGCGUAACGCGUGGGAAUCUGCCCUUAGGUUCGGAAUAACAGUUGGAAACGACUGCUAAUACCGGAUGAUGACGAAAGUCCAAAGAUUUAUCGCCUGAGGAUGAGCCCGCGUAGGAUUAGCUAGUUGGUGUGGUAAGAGCGCACCAAGGCGACGAUCCUUAGCUGGUCUGAGAGGAUGGUCAGCCACACUGGGACUGAGACACGGCCCAGACUCCUACGGGAGGAAGCAGUGGGGUAUAUUGGACAAUGGGCGAAAGCCUGAUCCAGCAAUGCCGCGUGAGUGAUGAAGGCCCUAGGGUUGUAAAGCUCUUUUACCCGGGAUGAUAAUGACAGUACCGGGAGAAUAAGCCCCGGCUAACUCCGUGCCAGCCGCCGCCGUAA
rnacentral:rRNA from 1 species